rnacentral:rRNA from 1 species
GGGUUGUGAGGUUAAGCGACUAAGCGUACACGGUGGAUGCCCUGGCAGUCAGAGGCGAUGAAGGACGUGCUAAUCUGCGAAAAGCGUCGGUAAGGUGAUAUGAACCGUUAUAACCGGCGAUGUCCGAAUGGGGAAACCCAGUGCAAUUCGUUGCACUAUCGUUAACUGAAUACAUAGGUUAACGAGGCGAACCGGGGGAACUGAAACAUCUAAGUACCCCGAGGAAAAGAAAUCAACCGAGAUUCCCCCAGUAGCGGCGAGCGAACGGGGAGCAGCCCAGAGUCUGAAUCAGCUUGUGUGUUAGUGGAACGGUCUGGAAAGUCCGACGGUACAGGGUGAUAGUCCCGUACACCAAAAUGCACAGGUUGUGAACUCGAAGAGUAGGGCGGGACACGUGGUAUCCUGUCUGAAUAUGGGGGGACCAUCCUCCAAGGCUAAAUACUCCUGACUGACCGAUAGUGAACCAGUACCGUGAGGGAAAGGCGAAAAGAACCCCGGCGAGGGGAGUGAAAAAGAACCUGAAACCGUGUACGUACAAGCAGUGGGAGCACCUUCGGGUGUGACUGCGUACCUUUUGUAUAAUGGGUCAGCGACUUAUAUUCUGUAGCAAGGUUAACCGUAUAGGGGAGCCGCAGGGAAACCGAGUCUUAACUGGGCGUUAAGUUGCAGGGUAUAGACCCGAAACCCGGUGAUCUAGCCAUGGGCAGGUUGAAGGUUGGGUAACACUAACUGGAGGACCGAACCGACUAAUGUUGAAAAAUUAGCGGAUGACUUGUGGCUGGGGGUGAAAGGCCAAUCAAACCGGGAGAUAGCUGGUUCUCCCCGAAAGCUAUUUAGGUAGCGCCUCGUGAACUCAUCUUCGGGGGUAGAGCACUGUUUCGGCUAGGGGGUCAUCCCGACUUACCAACCCGAUGCAAACUACGAAUACCGAAGAAUGUUAUCACGGGAGACACACGGCGGGUGCUAACGUCCGUCGUGAAGAGGGAAACAACCCAGACCGCCAGCUAAGGUCCCAAAGUCAUGGUUAAGUGGGAAACGAUGUGGGAAGGCACAGACAGCCAGGAUGUUGGCUUAGAAGCAGCCAUCAUUUAAAGAAAGCGUAAUAGCUCACUGGUCGAGUCGGCCUGCGCGGAAGAUGUAACGGGGCUAAACCAUGCACCGAAGCUGCGGCAGCGACACUAUGUGUUGUUGGGUAGGGGAGCGUUCUGUAAGCCUGCGAAGGUGUGCUGUGAGGCAUGCUGGAGGUAUCAGAAGUGCGAAUGCUGACAUAAGUAACGAUAAAGCGGGUGAAAAGCCCGCUCGCCGGAAGACCAAGGGUUCCUGUCCAACGUUAAUCGGGGCAGGGUGAGUCGACCCCUAAGGCGAGGCCGAAAGGCGUAGUCGAUGGGAAACAGGUUAAUAUUCCUGUACUUGGUGUUACUGCGAAGGGGGGACGGAGAAGGCUAUGUUAGCCGGGCGACGGUUGUCCCGGUUUAAGCAUGUAGGCUGGUUAUCCAGGCAAAUCCGGAUAAUCAAGGCUGAGGUGUGAUGACGAGGCACUACGGUGCUGAAGUAACAAAUGCCCUGCUUCCAGGAAAAGCCUCUAAGCAUCAGGUAACAUCAAAUCGUACCCCAAACCGACACAGGUGGUCAGGUAGAGAAUACCAAGGCGCUUGAGAGAACUCGGGUGAAGGAACUAGGCAAAAUGGUGCCGUAACUUCGGGAGAAGGCACGCUGGUGUGUAGGUGAAGUCCCUGCGGAUGGAGCUGAGACCAGUCGAAGAUACCAGCUGGCUGCAACUGUUUAUUAAAAACACAGCACUGUGCAAACACGAAAGUGGACGUAUACGGUGUGACGCCUGCCCGGUGCCGGAAGGUUAAUUGAUGGGGUUAUCCGUAAGGAGAAGCUCUUGAUCGAAGCCCCGGUAAACGGCGGCCGUAACUAUAACGGUCCUAAGGUAGCGAAAUUCCUUGUCGGGUAAGUUCCGACCUGCACGAAUGGCGUAAUGAUGGCCAGGCUGUCUCCACCCGAGACUCAGUGAAAUUGAACUCGCUGUGAAGAUGCAGUGUACCCGCGGCAAGACGGAAAGACCCCGUGAACCUUUACUAUAGCUUGACACUGAACAUUGAGCCUUGAUGUGUAGGAUAGGUGGGAGGCUUUGAAGCGUGGACGCCAGUCUGCGUGGAGCCAACCUUGAAAUACCACCCUUUAAUGUUUGAUGUUCUAACGUUGGCCCCUGACCGGGGUUGCGGACAGUGUCUGGUGGGUAGUUUGACUGGGGCGGUCUCCUCCCAAAGCGUAACGGAGGAGCACGAAGGUUAGCUAAUCCUGGUCGGACAUCAGGAGGUUAGUGCAAUGGCAUAAGCUAGCUUGACUGCGAGCGUGACGGCGCGAGCAGGUGCGAAAGCAGGUCAUAGUGAUCCGGUGGUUCUGAAUGGAAGGGCCAUCGCUCAACGGAUAAAAGGUACUCCGGGGAUAACAGGCUGAUACCGCCCAAGAGUUCAUAUCGACGGCGGUGUUUGGCACCUCGAUGUCGGCUCAUCACAUCCUGGGGCUGAAGUAGGUCCCAAGGGUAUGGCUGUUCGCCAUUUAAAGUGGUACGCGAGCUGGGUUUAGAACGUCGUGAGACAGUUCGGUCCCUAUCUGCCGUGGGCGCUGGAGAAUUGAGGGGGCUGCUCCUAGUACGAGAGGACCGGAGUGGACGCAUCACUGGUGUUCGGGUUGUCAUGCCAAUGGCACUGCCCGGUAGCUAAAUGCGGAAGAGAUAAGUGCUGAAAGCAUCUAAGCACGAAACUUGCCCCGAGAUGAGUUCUCCCUGAGACUAUAAGUCUCCUGAAGGAACGUUAAAGACGAUGACGUUGAUAGGCCGGGUGUGUAAGCGCAGCGAUGCGUUGAGCUAACCGGUACUAAUGAACCGUGAGGCUUAACCUUACAACGCCGAAG